UUACGGCCACAUCCGAUUGAAACACCGGUUCGUGUAAGAUCACCGAAGUUAAGCAACAUCAAUACUGGUCAGUACCUAGCUAGGUUACCGCUUGGGAAUACUAGGUGCUAUA